rnacentral:lncRNA from 1 species
CAGAAGUUGAACAUAGCCAUACAGAACCAUCAUUCUGGACUCUGGAAGGAGUGUGGAUAGAAUUGCCUUUGCUGCAAAAAUGUUAAUUUGAACAAUUUUUUUACAAGUAACUGAACCUUUAUGGUUUUUGCCACCCAAUGUUGUGGGUCUAUAAGACUAUCUAUUAUGCAUGCCUGUGAUCCAGAGAUCUUACCAGACAGAAAAACCUGCAAACUCAUUGGCAUUGAAUCUGUAUGGGGAGACAGGACUCGAUCCAGUAGGCUGGAACAGACACAAGACAGCAGCCAUGGGAAUGCCUCAGUCCCCCUGCAAUCAGGAUGGACUAGUGGGUCAGAGUGGCUCUACUUGCACUCCUUGACCCUGAGAUCUCUGGGGUCUGAGACUGAGAAAACACAGUGAUUGCAUAAGAGGAUACAGGGUGUAGCUGUGUUCCAAGUACUCACAGAGUGCUGUGGCACACUCUCAGAGCUCCUUGCUUGCCUAAAGCAGCUCAAAGCAGAGGGAACAGUGCUCACAGGAAGGUCUACUCAGAUCAUUUGUGUUUCACAUGGUGGUACAGAGUGUUAAACACACUGGGGGCUAACACCUGGGCAUUCCAUAGUUUGGAGGAAAAGGAGUGGUCACACCAACAGAGGUGACCAUUCCUCUCCAUCAAUUACCAGGGUAAAGCUACCACACUCAACUUGUGUUACCUUGGAUACUUGUCCCAUUUAGGAGCACUGGCCAAAACUCCCUGACCACAUCCACAACACAAAUCUUGGUGUUCACUGAAAGUGUAGAUAUUCCACUAAGCCACAGAGGAAUAACUCAAAGAUGAAAAGCUUUCAGAGAAAAAAAAUUCUACAAAUGCCUAAAAAUAUGUAAAAAUUCAAGAACCAAGAAUAAGGAAGACACCAUGACCUCAACAAAAUAUCUUUUUUUUUGACAGGCAGAGUGGAUAGUGAGAGAGAGAGACAGAGAGAAAGGUUUUCCUUUUUGCUAUUGGUUCACCCUCCAAUGGCCGUCACGGCUGGCGUGCUGCAGCCGGCGUACUGCGCUAAUCCAAAGACAGGAGCCAGGUACUUAUCCUGGUCUCCCAUGGGGUGCAGGGCCCAAGCACUUGGGCCAUCCUCCACUGCACUCCUGGGCCACAGCAGAGAGCUGGCCUGGAAGAGGAGCAACCAGGACAGAAUCCGGAUCCCCACCCGGGACUAGAACCCGGUGUGCCGGCACCGCUAGGUGGAGGAUUAGCCUAUUGAGCUGCGGUGCCGGCCAACCUCCACAAAAUAUUACAACAACAUUUCAAUAUUAGAAUGUGAAGAUGAAGAGACUGAGGAAAUGCUGGAAAUAGAAUUCAAAAAAACUAAUUAUAGGAUUAUUCAAAAUUAAUCAGAAGUAAAUCAAUGAGCUAAAGAAAACCAUACAUGAUAUAAAUAAAAAUUUUUUAUGAAGUUUUUAAAAAGAAGUC